GACGAACGCUGGCGGCGUGCUUAACACAUGCCAGUCGAACGGAAAGGCCUCUUUCGGGGGGUACUCGAGUGGCGAACGGGUGAGUAACACGUGAGUAACCUGCCCUUGACUUUGGGAUAACUUCAGGAAACUGGGGCUAAUACCGGAUAGGAGCUCCUGCUGCAUGGUGGGGGUUGGAAAGUUUCGGCGGUUGGGGAUGGACUCGCGGCUUAUCAGCUUGUUGGUGGGGUAGUGGCUUACCAAGGCUUUGACGGGUAGCCGGCCUGAGAGGGUGACCGGCCACAUUGGGACUGAGAUACGGCCCAGACUCCUACGGGAGGCAGCAGUGGGGAAUAUUGCACAAGGGGUGGAAGCCUGACGCAGCAACGCCGUGUGCGGGAGGACGGCCUUCGGGUUGUAAACCGCUUUCGCUCAUGACGAAGCUUUGUGUGACGGUAGUGGGUAAAGAAGCACCGGCUAACUACGUG
rnacentral:rRNA from 1 species